rnacentral:rRNA from 1 species
GGGGAAUAUUGCACAAUGGGGGAAACCCUGAUGCAGCAACGCCGCGUGAGCGAUGAAGGCCUUCGGGUUGUAAAGCUCUGUCUUCUCUGACGAUAAUGACGGUAAGAGAGGAGGAAGCCACGGCUAACUACGUGCCAGCAGCCGCGGUAAUACGUAGGUGGCAAGCGUUGUCCGGAAUUAUUGGGCGUAAAGGAUGCGUAGGCGGUCUUUUAAGUGGGAUGUGAAAUACCCGGGCUUAACCUGGGAAUGGCAUUCCAAACUGGAAGACUAGAGUGCAGGAGAGGAAAGUGGAAUUCCCAGUGUAGCGGUGAAAUGCGUAGAGAUUGGGAGGAACACCAGUGGCGAAGGCGGCUUUCUGGACUGUAACUGACGCUGAGGCAUGAAAGCGUGGGGAGCAAAC